AUGGGGAAUUUUGGACAAUGGGCGANCCCUUUGANCCAGCCAUGUCCGCGUGNCUGAAGAAGGCCUUCGGGUUGUAAAGGACUUUUGUCAGGGAGGAAAUCCCUAGUGCUAAUAACACUGGGGGAUGACAGUACCUGAAGAAUAAGCACUCGGCUAACUACGUGCCAGCAGCCGCGGUAAUACGUAGGGUGCGAGCGUUAAUCGGAAUUACUGGGCGUAAAGCGUGCGCAGGCGGUUUGAUAAGCCAGAUGUGAAAUCCCCGAGCUCAACUUGGGAACUGCGUUUGGAACUGNCAGACUANAGUGCGUCAGAGGGGGGUGGAAUUCCGCGUGUAGCANNGAAAUGNNUNUAGAUGCGGAGGAACANCGAUGGCGAAGGCAGNCCCCCCUGGGAUGACACUGACGCUCAUGCNCGNAAGCGUGGGGAGCAAACANGAUUAGAUACCCCUGGUAGUCCACGCCCNAUACGAUGUCCANUUANCUGUUUGGGGGUUAGAAUCCUUGGUAGCGUNGCUAACGCUGUGAAAUUGACCGCCUGGGGGAGNAANGGCCGCNANGCUU
rnacentral:rRNA from 1 species